rnacentral:lncRNA from 1 species
ACAUGAAAAUACUGCAAAAAUGUAGUUUACCUUCAUAUAAUCAAAUUUAUAAGUUCUAAUGUUUCAAUUUGAGAAAGUUAAAUACAAAUAUGUUCCGUAUAAAGACUUGAUUUUUUUCUUUUAGUACUUGUUAACUAUAUGAAGACCCUUUUUUUUUUUUUAGUACUUGUUAUAUAUAGGAAGCUUCAUUUAAGGGAUCCCUCAAAUAUGAGGAACACCCUUGUAGAACCCACUCCAUAUUGUUUCCAAGUGCUGUUUUUGUGGUUGUUCUCCUUAUGAGGUAUAUUAGUUUAUAUGGUUAUUGGUUUUGAUUAUCAAUAUCUUUGAGAUUUUCGGAA